rnacentral:tRNA from 1 species
UAGGUUAAAGUCCGUUGGUUUGGACGGCUAACUGUUAAUUAGUUUUUUUGUGGGAUCGAGGCCCGCUGACCUAG